GCAAUAAUUGCCUCUCACUCUACAUCCCCUCUUGAGUUGAAUCAGGCAGUUGAAGCAUCAUGUUCAACUUGGAAAUGAACUUGUGAUCAAGAUCAGGCGGCAAAGGCUUCACACUUUGAGAUCAAUAGACAGGUGGACUGGUAUAUGAAGAUCCCUAAAUAAAAAUAUGUGAUCCACAACAAUUCACAAUUAUGGCUGCCAUUGAUCCACAUUCUGCUUCCGCAGAGGAUAUAGAGAUGGUAGACUGCUUUUUUGUCUUCCAGUUAAUCAAACAAGGUUCAACAAAAAUGCAAAAUCCUGUGAGGGAUUUUCUACUGAAUGCACAAGAUACUCAAUCUGCAUCAAAGUAGAUUGUCAACUGAAAAUCAUUUACAAAGUGCAACCAUUUAGAAGGACAAGAUUUCAACUACUAAACCACAUCAUUUCUGUUCCAGUAGCUCGAUCCGCCAUUUAAUCCUCUUAUUGCUCAGUGGCUUUUGUGCGCAUAUCAGCAACGACAGCUUAUUUCUAGUUUGGUCUUUCGGAGUGGAAUGGGCGACAACAAAAGUUUAUUUCUAGUUUAGUUUUAAGGGGUGAGGUCUUAUCCUCAUAAGAUGGUAUUCAAAGUUUUACUCUGUUAAUACUUUAAGAUAAAUUUUUUGUUAAAAAAUCAUUGUGAUAGUAAUAAAAUAAUAUUUUAAAAUUAUUUUAGUUCACACGAAUAAUGUAAAAAUUUUGAAAAUAAAAU
rnacentral:misc_RNA from 1 species